rnacentral:ncRNA from 1 species
CUCCGAAAAGGCAAAACCAGGGUGACCUGGUGACGCAAAACCACGGGUCCUGCCAAGGAUAGCCGGGUCACCGAAA